GGCAGAAAUCCGUCUCUGUGAGCGGAGGAGGGUGUGCUUAUGCGAGAGCAGGUUUUGGGAGCUCACUAAAGCAGGUCCCUGAUUCUGGUCUUGAAUAGCGGAGGAGGAAAAGAAGAUGAUGGGGGAAAAGAAAAGAAGCCAUUUAUGCAUCCCUCCCUAAUUCAGUAUCCGAGCAUGAGGGAGUGUCAAGCUAGUGGGGAAGAAGAGAGGGUUUAGUUUUGAAUGAAGUUGGGAGUUUUUAUUAUUGCACUGAACUAAAUAGGCAUUUUACUAAAGUCAAGACUGUUCUUGUUAUUUAAAGGAACGGGAUCAUCAAUGGAACUCUUUGAGAUUUCAUCCAGAGGCUGGGAAAGAACAUUCAUGGUAGCUUUUAUUAUUAUUUUCAUUAUUGUAAGUUGAGGAAGAGAAAACCCAGGAAAAUAUACAAAGAGUGAUUGGAAUUAAUAAGAGUAAAACAAGGUGGCUGUAUAAAAGGUCAAUAUUCAAAAUCAAUUUUGUUAUUACUUACUAGCAACAUAAUUUUUUUUUUUUUUUUUUGAGACAGAGUUUCACUCUUGUUGCCCAGGCUGGAGUGCAACGGCGUGAUCUUGGCUCACUGCAACCUCGGUCCAAAGUAUACGGCACUCCAAGAACAGUCGGAGCUACGUGGGAAGGGAGCUGGCCCAACUUUUUGAAGUUUGUUGGAGAAGGAUGGGUAUGUGACUUAUAGGCGUGUGUGUGUGUGUGUGUGUGUGUG
rnacentral:lncRNA from 1 species